GUCAGUACCUGCUGAUGGACCUUCCCUCCAGGAAUUUUAAACUUGGUUAAGCUACCAGUCUCCACAACAUCCUGUGACAAUGGGUUCCAUGAGCUAAUUACUUGCUGUGUGAAAAAGAACUUCCUUUUGUUAGCUUCAAACCUACUACCUAAUAGUUUCAUUGCUUAACCCUAUAACAAGGUGAUCUAUCCCCUGCAGAGGGGUUAGCCAGUCCUAGUGAGAGCAUUCAGCUGUAAUCAGGGAGCCCACUGGGAGUUUAAGUCCCAGAGGAGAGCUUGCUGAGAGGUAAAGCCUGUGAAGGUACUUGCUGCUGGAGGGAGCCAAAUUGCUGGGCUGGGAGGCAGAGCUAAAAGAAGUCCUCCCUGGGUGCCUGGAAAGUGAAGGAAACCUGUGAGCACUGUCCAGGUGGAUUAGACAAAAAGUGCAGGGUCUUCUUGGAAGCAGUGGGAGCCAGCUACCACUGGUAUGGAAAUAUCUGCACUUCGAACAGGACAGGUUAGAUUUCCAGCAUGGAGUUCACACUGCAGAAUAUGGGGGAUUCCCAGAUAUAUAAAAGGUGGCCCUGCCAGCAUAGCAAUAGCAGCAGAGCAUCCCUAUUGGAGAAGACGAUAAACAGGCAAGAGAAGAAGCUGAGCUGAACAAUAAGACAUGGCAAUGCACAGAAGGAACAAAAGGCCAGGGAAGGAGACAGGAGUGCCUUCCAGAGAUAUCGAGGGUAAUUCAUUCAGCAAAGUAGAAUUCUCUUUCAAAAACAAUGACAAAAUGAAAUGUUGCCCAAGUGUUCUCAGGGGAAGAUGGAAGACAGAUGGCAAGUAUAUAUACCAGUUCCCCAGGGGAGGAUGGAGAAAUGCUGAUGGAAAUCACAAUUAUGCCAGAGCAGGUGAUGAAGAAAUUAAAGCUUUUUAAGACAGACGCAGCUCCAAGAGCAGAUGGGCUGCUGUGCAGCACGUGGAAGGAGCUGGCAAAGAAAGAAAGAAAAUCUUCUUUGACUAGGUCCAUCAGUUGGCUGGAAACAAGGGGAGUUGCAAUGGACAGAAAAAGAGCUCAUGCAAUGUGGGCCAGAUUCUAACUUCCAGUUACACAGACACGGGAAUGGAAUACUGUCAGCAUUAUUUAUACUGCAGUAGUGCCUGAGUGCCUGAGUUGUGGUGGCCUUGUUGUGUGAAGCACUAUAUAGACACAGACUAUGCAGUUGGAAUUUGUGGAGUUGUUAUAGUUAUACCUUGUAGUAAGUAAACAGGAUCAUCUAAUCUAAUUCAUUUAAAGCUGUUGUAAUUCUGUUUUUCACAACAUACACUAUAAAGUUAUUUCCAACUCAGAAACAGUGGGAAUAUCCCAUCAGUAGAUACCAAAACUGACAGAAAAAUUCUAUAUAUUUGCCCAAAAAAAACCAGACAGAAAAAAAAGAAAAAAGGAAUAAAUUGUAGUAUGUAUGUAUUUAUUUAUUUAUUUAAAUAUUAUAUAUAAAAAUAAUUGUGUGUAUAUGCAUGUGUGUGUGUAUACACGUACACACACAUACACACACAAUAUGUGUAUAAUAUAUAAUAUUUUCAUGGUAUUUUAACAUGGCAUACAUAUCUAAUAUUUAAUAUAUG